GACGAACGCUGGCGGCGUGCUUAACACAUGCAAGUCGAACGGAAAGGCCCUGCUUUUGUGGGGUGCUCGAGUGGCGAACGGGUGAGUAACACGUGAGUAACCUGCCCUUGACUUUGGGAUAACUUCAGGAAACUGGGGCUAAUACCGGAUAGGAGCUCCUGCUGCAUGGUGGGGGUUGGAAAGUUUCGGCGGUUGGGGAUGGACUCGCGGCUUAUCAGCUUGUUGGUGGGGUAGUGGCUUACCAAGGCUUUGACGGGUAGCCUGCCUGAGCGGGUGACCGGCCACAUUGGGACUGAGAUACGGCCCAGACUCCUACGGGAGGCAGCAGUGGGGAAGAUUGCACAAUGGGCGGAAGCCUGAUGCAGAAACGCCGCGUGCGGGAUGACGGCCUUCGGGGUGUAAACCGAUUUCGCCUGUGACGAAGCGUGAGUGACGGUAAUGGGUAAAGAAGCACCGGCUAACUACGUG
rnacentral:rRNA from 1 species